CCCCUAGAUGUUCUGGGCCGCACGCGCGCUACACUGAACAGUUCAACAAGUCUUAACCUUGGCCGAUAGGUCUGGGUAAUCUUUGAACGCUGUUCGUGAUUGGGAUAGACCUUUGCAAUUAUGGGUCUUCAACGAGGAAUUCCUAGUAAACGCAAGUCAUCAGCUUGCAUUGAUUACGUCCCUGCCCUUUGUACACACCGCCCGUGGCACCUACCGAUUGAAUGGUCCGGUGAAAUCUCGGGACGGCGGCUUGGUCGCUUGCGUCCGACUGCUGAAACUUGAUUAAACCAUAUCAUUUAGAGGAAGGUGAAGUCGUAACA
rnacentral:rRNA from 1 species